CAUCACCAAGCAUCAUCAUCAGCUCAGAAAACUAGCUAGAACAAAGUCUUAUUUUAGUUCAUCAAACAACCAUCAUGGAGAACAUGAGAGGAAGAAGAGGGGUUGGAGAAAGAGCCUACACGAGUCUAGCGGUGUAUGAAGACUUCCAACCAAUUUCAGAUUGGGCCAAUGACUCAAAUAGCCACGUCCUCCUUGUUGAUCUUCCUUGUAUAUAUAUCUAAUUUCAUCAUCUUUCUUCAACCAUCUAUUUCAGUUACAAAGGUGUUUUGCCUUGUCUAAGGCUUCAAUAAGCAAGAGCUAAAGCUGGAAGUGGACAACUAUGGCAGAUUAGCAGUUGGUGGAGAGAGUCAGUUGAUGGUGGUGUUCUCUUUGUAAUCAUCCCAAAGAAAGAAAAUGUAAUAGAGGAAAAACCAAAGACCAUCAUCCUGUUGCAGAUGGAAUUGCAGAAGAGCACAAACAGGAAACAUCCAAAACUGAAGAAAAACUACCAGAGAAAGGGGAGCCCCAACAGGAAACAACCACUACAGAAGAGAAACCAAAGAAAGAUGGAAAAGAUUAUGGUGUUAAAUAUAACAAUGGAAAUGGGAUUGAUCACCAGGAAAGGAAGAGUAGAAAGUACAAAAAAUAAAAGUAAAUGGUUAUUAAAUGAAGGGAAAGGAUAUCAGUUUGGUUUUGCAGAAAGUGCAAUUGAAAGGAUUGCUAGGAACAAGGGGGUGGUUUUAGCUGCCAUCUUAGGACUUGCGGUUGGGAUGUAUUUUUCUCAUAAACUCAGAUCAACUGAUGUGACAGAAGCCUUUACCCCUACUAGUUAAUCUCAUCAUGGGGGAAGAUGAUAUCCUCAUUAUUGUAAGUUGUGACCGACUUGUCCAUCUCUCUGUAUGUAAACAUGUGAUAUACAAAACAGUUUAUUCCUGUAAGUAUAAAACAACUGCUUCAUUGGAA